UGGGGAAUUGUUCGCAAUGGGCGCAAGCCUGACGACGCAACGCCGCGUGGAGGAUGAAGAUCUUCGGGUCGUAAACUCCUGUCGAGUGGAAAGAAUAGCUUCCGGGCGAAUAUUCCGGAAGCCUGACGGUACCACUAAAGGAAGCCCCGGCUAACUCCGUGCCAGCAGCCGCGGUAAUACGGGGGGGGCAAGCGUUGUUCGGAAUUACUGGGCGUAAAGGGCUCGUAGGCGGCCAACUAAGUCAGACGUGAAAUCCCCAGGCUCAACCUGGGAACUGCGUCUGAUACUGGAUGGCUUGAAUUCGGGAGAGGGAUGCAGAAUUCCAGGUGUAGCGGUGAAAUGCGUAGAUAUCUGGAGGAAUACCGGUGGCGAAGGCGGCAUCCUGGACCGAGAUUGACGCUGAGGAGCGAAAGCUAGGGGAGCAAACGGG
rnacentral:rRNA from 1 species